AUGGCGACCGGCGCACGGGUGAGUAACACGUAUCCAACCUGCCGAUAACUCGGGGAUAGCCUUUCGAAAGAAAGAUUAAUACCCGAUGGUAUAAUUAGACCGCAUGGUCUUGUUAUUAAAGAAUUUCGGUUAUCGAUGGGGAUGCGUUCCAUUAGGCAGUUGGUGAGGUAACGGCUCACCAAACCUUCGAUGGAUAGGGGUUCUGAGAGGAAGGUCCCCCAUAUUGGAACUGAGACACGGUCCAA
rnacentral:rRNA from 1 species